AGCCGGCUGUAAGGGAGCGCCAAGUUCUGGAAUCCUUGGGGAGUGAUAAUGUCUAGCAACAUGCCUGAGCCUUCACUUAAGGGAACGCGCAUCUCAGUUGUAUGAAAAGGAAGACACUAGGAAGAAUUACAGGAAGACAAUGGGUGUGCACCAGAAUAGGAACUCCAGAGAAACAGAAAAAGGAAAAUGUAGCAUGGCAUAAAAAUUUGGAGACUUCUCUACCACCUUUGUCAAAUCAUUGACUGUAUGAAAAAAUACAUCACUUUACACAUA